rnacentral:lncRNA from 1 species
CGGAACGUCGGAAACUAUUUGGAUAUUCUCUGAAUAGAAGAGAGCAGUCUUCAGCCAUUGUUGAUGAUCUCCAGGGAAAAAAUGAUGUACUUCAGAAAAAAUAUGAUGAUCCUCAAAAGAAACUCAGUAAGUAUCUCUGACGACCUCUUUGUUUCCACAGCCUGUAUUAAACAUUCAGGUUUUUGGUUCUUUCGGCAUCCCCUCUCUUCUUUCCUAUAUGCCAUCUUUUGGCUCACAUGUCAUCUCCAUGUCUUCCCUCUCCUCCCUCAAGGUUUCUGUUUAUGGACGUCUCCCAUCUUAAGUUCUCUUCGUUUCUUUUACCCGAGACCUGAUUCCUUCUCAGUGCUUCCCACUUCAUUUCACAGGGCCCUUCCUGUAAACAUGGUCUUACUCUGGCUUCCAGAGUCUUGGCAGGUUCGUUUUGAUUUUGUGAGAAGAAGGGGAGAGACUGAUGGACAUGUGGCUUCUGUUCCACGUUUAGCUUCUGGAACACUUCCAAUAACGUAGACUCUCUGUCAUACAGCAAAGUUCAAGGGGCCAUUCUCAUGCCAUUGAUGCCUCCCCAAAGCUUAUGAAAUAAAACAAGGCUGCAAAUUUGCUGAGUGAUGUUU